UGGCUGAAGCAGUUCUCAGGGCGAUUUGCUGGUGUGGGUGUUUCUUACCUAAGUGCACAGGUGAGAGACUGCCCGCAUCCAUGAUUGUUCCUGGGGCUGCUAAUUUGCCGCAGCUGCUAUGCCCUCUCGAUAUAUAGAAGUGCGAGUCAGCUAGAGAGAAUAAAAUGAAGGACGGAGGGAGGGAGGUUGCUGGAGAGCAGGAAGCAGGGUGGUGGAAGAGCCGGUGUGAGCGAGUGAGCAGGCUCGAAUGAGAGAAAGCUGGGAGGUGAGCCCAUGAGGGGAGUGUUUUGCCAACACUCAGUGGGGCUGAAGGAAGCGGUCGCUCCAGCUGAGCGAUUUAGGAGCUGGAGUGACCAGUAGAGGAGACGACUGACCGUUGAAAGGAGCAGAAGUCGAGGAGGCUUUGGGCUGGUUUAGCUCUAGCGUGAGUGCCUUGGCCACUGGGGAAAUAACUCAAGUCUCGGUCCGGUUUGGAGACCGACGUAGCCAGGGAUCGGAGGGCUACCGGACCAGAGUGAAAGGCAGCUGUUCCCGCAGUAGCAUAGUCGGUAGGAUCAUUUCCGCAGAUUAUCAAACCAGUAUUGAGGGUUCAGGUGGCUAAUCAUCCGUCCCAACUCACCAACUCGAAGGCUCAUAAGGCAGCUUGGAUGACUUUCCACAAGGAAUGUGCAUUUGGGCCUCCCCAGCCCAUUCUUCCUGAAUGCAAUGAGUCAGGUGGAAGAGGACAAAGCUCACCUGGAGGAGAGGAAGGAGAGGAAAGACAAAGAGAAGGAAGAAGAUUAUUGUUUGUAUUUUGUGUUUGUAUGACAUUUGAGAGUAGCCUGUGAGAGGUAUUUAUGAAAAAUAAAAUCUUUAUUUGAACUUAA